GCCCGGCUGGCCUAAUGGUUAAGGCGUAUGACUUCUAAUCAUAAGAUUGCGAGUUCGAGUCUCGCGUCGGGUU